rnacentral:rRNA from 1 species
AGCUCCAAUAGCGUAUAUUAAAGUUGUUGCAGUUAAAAAGCUCGUAGUUGGAUUUGUGGAAGGAAGGGCUGGUUUCACUUAUGUGAAUACCGUGCUGUUUCCGUCCAUCCUUGGGUGGAAUCUGUGUGGCAUUGAGUUGUCGUGCAGGGGAUGCCCAUCGUUUACUGUGAAAAAAUUAGAGUGUUCAAAGCAGGCUUACGCCUUGAAUAUAUUAGCAUGGAAUAAUAAGAUAGGACCUGGGUACUAUUUUGUUGGUUUGCGCACCGAGGUAAUGAUUAAUAGGGACAGUUGGGGGUAUUCGUAUUCCUUUGUCAGAGGUGAAAUUCUUGGAUUUUUGGAAGACGAACUACUGCGAAAGCAUUUACCAAGGAUGUUU